GAUGAACGCUGGCGGCGUGCCUAAUACAUGCAAGUCGAGCGAACGGACGAGAAGCUUGCUUCUCUAAUGUUAGCGGCGGACGGGUGAGUAACACGUGGAUAACCUACCUAUAAGACUGGGAUAACUUCGGGAAACCGGAGCUAAUACCGGAUGAUAUUUUGAACCGCAUGGUUCAAAAGUGAAGGACGGUCUUGCUGUCACUUAUAGAUGGAUCCGCGCUGCAUUAGCUAGUUGGUAAGGUAACGGCUUACCAAGGCAACGAUGCAUAGCCGACCUGAGAGGGUGAUCGGCCACACUGGAACUGAGACACGGUCCAGACUCCUACGGGAGGCAGCAGUAGGGAAUCUUCCGCAAUGGGCGAAAGCCUGACGGAGCAACGCCGCGUGAGUGAUGAAGGUCUUCGGAUCGUAAAACUCUGUUAUUAGGGAAGAACAUAUGUGUAAGUAACUGUGCACAUCUUGACGGUACCUAAUCAGAAAGCCACGGCUAACUACGUG
rnacentral:rRNA from 1 species